CCACCCCUGAGCCCCGGAUCACGCAGUGGGUGUCUCUCGCGAGAGCUCAUCGGCGCCCGCUGUGCAUUGGGAGGCUCACGUCCCCACCCUCGGGCUUUCCAAGGUGCCGCGCCAGGGGUUGCUGAGGUAGAGGUGGCUCCCCUGCUCCUCCUUCCACCUCUCCGAUUCCACCUCCUCCUCGCACCCCGCUGGGAACUCCUCCAGGGGCUGAGAUUGGAUUCACCGAGCCUGCGGAGAGUGGGGAACUGCGGGCAGGUCGGCGGAGUUAGAUGGCAGCAAAGGUGGGCCGGCUUGGUGUGAUAAAGUUCCAACUGGGUCCUUCCGCGAGCCCUGGGUCCAUAAGAUGUCAUCGGCGAGCGCUGGACUUGACCGUCAACUUGGGAUUGUUAAGGUACUGUAUGGAUGGUCAAGUGCUGGAAAGAAAAAAAAAUGGCCCAUAAAUUUGUUUGGUUUCACAAGAGACAUGGGAGACCAAAUAACGCACGAUGAGUACUUUUCUAAAUAUCCUGUUUAUUCUCCCAACGGGGCUCAUAAAAAUACGGAUGCAUUCAGUGGGUUGAGAGAUCUCUGUGCAGUCGUGACCCUGCAAUUAUAUUUGACAAGGGUGGUGAUGACAGAUGGGUGGCACAGAAGCCUACCCUUCUUUGGCACCAAUUGAGCAUGGUGACAACAGAUUCAAAAUGGCCUGUGUCUGAACUUGAUGGUCCUGUUUUUCUGCUCUGGUCUUUAGGAAUGAGGGGAGCCUUCCCGAGUUCCGCCAUUUCCUUGCAUUUUUCUUUUUACAUAUAUUCGUUCACUUAUUUAUUUACUAAUUUAUUUUAAAUAGAGUCUUGUUCUGUAGCCCAGGCUGUGGGGUUUUUUUGGCUGGCUGCAAUCUCCACCUCCCUGGUUCCAGCAAUUCUCCUGCCACAGCCUCCUGAGUAGCUGGGAUUACAGGUGUAUGCCACCCUGCUCACCUAACUUUUGUUUUUUUAGUAGAGACAGGGUUUCACCAUGUUGCCCAGGCUGACCUUCAGGGAUCUGCCUGCCUCAGUCUCCCAAAGUGCUGGGAUAACAGGUGUGAGUCACCGCGCCCAGCCUAAAUUGCAAUUUUUCAAAAUAAAUGUUUUGUUUUGCUUUUUUUAAAAGUAGGUCAUCACCUAGUGACCACUGUUAUUGAAAGGCCACUGUUAUUGAAAGUGGCCACUGUUAUUUAAAGGUGGCACUGAGGGCCGCCUGGCCACUUCACAGAGCCUGGGGCAACUGCUUUCUCUCCUUCCCUUCUGGAGGCCCCUCCCUCUCUCCCUCACUGCCUAGGGAACUUCCAUCCUGGUGCGGACCCUGUUGUUCUUUUAUCCCUCUAGGUAAAUGGUGUCUCCUUCUGUCGCCAAGGCGGUGGCAUGGUCUCGGCUGGCUGCAAUCUCCACCUCCUUGCUUCCAGCGAUUCUCCUGCCUCAGCCCCCCGAGUAGCAGAAAUUACAGGAGUUUCAUGGCAGGGCGCUUGGCUGGCUUGUUUAAAUUCAUUCUGAAUAAGAACUGAGGAUGUCAGCUUCUGGCCUCAUGGACUCUGGACUGAAGAGUCCCCUUGUCUAUCUAUCAUGAGACUGUACACGUAAGAAGCAAAAAACUAGUAACAUUUAAAAUAAAUAAUUUUGUUGUACAGAAAUACACGGAUGCACCUAAAACACAGAAAUGAUUCUUUUAAAAGUUGUGUUAGUCCUGGUGGGUGUGGCAGUGAUUCUUUUAGGUUUGGAGCUUGACUGAGAGAAUUUCCAGUCGGUAUUUGGAUGGAAGUUCCAGAUGAUCUGAUGGGUGGGGACUUAGGCUGUGUCCCCCCCCCAGGGGCCCUGGUUGAUUAGUUAUGGGGACUGCCUGCGAGGGUGCUGUGACCCAGUGUACUGUGGGGACUUCCAUCCUUCCCCUCCUUUCCCCACUCCGGGUGAUGCCAAUUCAUUGCGGGCUGACACUCUCAUUGGCAUAUGCCACCCUAUUCACCUAAUGGGCAUCACCUAGCAGCCAUUGUUACUCUGAAAACCGAGGCCUCAAGGAGGAAGAAAGCUCAUGGCACCUGGGCACAGCCCAAGGCAGCUGUGUCUUCUCCACUGCCCCCACCCCCACCUCCAAGUUUCUCCCUCCCUUGUUGCCAAGGGAAUUGCCACCCUGAUGAGUGGUUCUGAUUGUUCUUUGAUCAGUUAAAAAAAUGAAUAUACAUGCCGGGCACUGUGGCUCAUGCCUGUAAUCCCAGCACUUUGGGAGGC
rnacentral:lncRNA from 1 species